rnacentral:rRNA from 1 species
AACGAACGCUGGCGGCAUGCCUAACACAUGCAAGUCGAACGAGACCUUCGGGCCUAGUGGCGCACGGGGGCGUAACGCGUGGGAACCUGCCCUUAGGUUCGGAAUAACUCCCCGAAAGGGGUGCUAAUACCGGAUAAUGUCUUCGGACCAAAGAUUUAUCGCCUUUGGGUGGGCCCGCGUUGGAUUAGCUGGUUGGUAGGGGAAAAGCCUACCAAGGCGACGAUCCAUAGCUGGUCUGAGAGGAUGAUCAGCCACACUGGGACUGAGACACGGCCCAGACUCCUACGGGAGGCAGCAGUGGGGAAUAUUGGACAAUGGGCGAAAGCCUGAUCCAGCAAUGCCGCGUGAGUGAUGAAGGCCUUAGGGUUGUAAAGCUCUUUUACCCGGGAUGAUAAUGACAGUACCGGGAGAAUAAGCACCGGCUAACUCCGUG